rnacentral:rRNA from 1 species
GUCUACGGCUAUGCUACCCUGAACAAGCCAAAUCCCCUCUGAUCUCGGAAGCUAAGCAGGGUUGGGCCUGGUUAGUACCUGGAUGGGAUCACCUAGGAAGACCAGGUGCUAUAGGCG